rnacentral:lncRNA from 1 species
CAUGCAACAUCUGGUCGUUGACUCGUGCUCUUUGAUAGCUCUGCAGAUUCUGCUCCCUGGAUAAGUGAAGAGCUGCCUGUAAAGUGUUCAUCAUGACGACACGUAGACCCAAUCAGAGCUUGAAGGCAACGAUCUUUAUAGCGAUCCUGUGCGUCUCUUCUGGGACAUUGAAGGGCCUGGGAACAAGUGCUGCUGGUAUAGUGAAAGAAAUAGAAUCCAUCCUUGGUCAAGGAGGAGCAUCAGGUUCCGGAACGGGCGGUAAUGGCAGCCCUUCAGGCGUAGGCCGCACUGGAACAGGGAUUGCGUCCUUGUUUGGACUAGGUGGUAACGGAGGUCCUUCGAGUACGGGAAGUAGUGGAACAGCGGGAAUUCCUGGCCUCGGUGGCGGUGGAAGCGGAAUGAUCCCUGGUAUCGGAGGCACUAGCACAGGGGCUGGCUCAGGUACGAGCGGAAGCGGAAGUUUGUCGGGAGCGGGUGGUGCCUGCAAGCGGUGCAGGAGGAAGCACUGGUACUGGGGGUAUCGGAAGUAUUCCAGGUGUCGGAAGCAUCCCGGGCAUCGGAAGUAUCCCAGGCAUCGGAAGUAUCCCAGGCAUCCCAGGCAUCGGAAGUAUCCCAGGCAUCGGAAGUAUCCCAGGCAUCGGAAGCAUCCCGGGCAUCGGAAGAAGUGACAAGGAUGGCCGUAGUGGAUAGAAGAUCACUGACAAGGAUCUAUGAUACGGGCUCGCCAGAUGUGCAAGGCAUCGAGUCAAUGCUCCACAUGGAAUGGGCGAAUAACGCCAAACAACAGAAGGAAGGGUGACUGAGUGACACGAAUUUCUCGGAAACCAAACGAGCGCCUCUGUUUCUUUGUUACCUGUUGUGUGAAUAAAAAAAAUAAAAAAAGAAGACCUAAAGGAACAGAGUUAUUUGGUUUCUUGAUG